rnacentral:lncRNA from 1 species
UUCACCCUCUAAGCUGAAAAGGCUUCGGUGGUCAACCCUGAGGAAAAAUCCGGAGCCGGAGUCCCGAAGGCAGUUCAUUGUCGCUUGCGAACGCGUUCUGGCACCUCCUGCGACGCCGCUGGUGCCAACCCGCAUCGGUCUGUGCCGUUCCUCUGGAUCCAUCAGCGGCGUGGAGAGAGGAGCCGGCAGCAUGGGCACCAGCUUGCUCCUCACAUUCUCUCGCCCAGGCAGUGACUCUACCUAUACGGGAGUGGGUAGAGACAAUAAUGCCAAAGUGGCACUGUCGUCAUAUAUAAAAAGGAAUGGUCCCUGGGCUGAUCCCCCCGAGGCAUCGCGGCGCCGGACAGAAGCCCCGCUCGUUUUUUUGUUUUUCGGUAAUUUUGAAAAUCAGUGGGUUUUGAAUUGACGGUAGACGGCGGAAUUUAGCGAUAGUAGAUUUUUUUUUUUUUUUUUGAGAUCGCAUUUUUUCCGCGAAACAAAUACAGGUCAGAUUACCUGAACCUUUUUUUUUUUUUUUUUUUGGCCUAACUAGGAAUACUAUCUCUGCCGUUUUCUUUUCAGCAUGACUAAACUUCCGCCAGACAUACCCAUUUCACUGAUAAAAGCCUUCUGCAGAAACCACUGCCGCCCUGCUGUCGGCAGUUCACCUGGCACGGGAGCUCACGGGGUACUAUCCCUGUGCCCCAGGGUGCAUUUUAACGUCCGGCCCAGGGCAAAUAUAUUCAUUCCUAUUCAUCGCCGAUGCGGGGUUUGACGAACUACAUCUUGUAGUUGACUGAGUCUUUCUAGUGGGGUGGCUGGCCGAGAUCCUUCCCCAGGGGAGCAGUUGGUUGCGUAAUCCCUGUUGGGGCUUCUCAACCCACCGCCAGAACUCCGGUCGACGCACCCGCUAUCGGACCUUUAUUGACGUAGAAUAUCGAGCUUGUUGACUUGUUUUAGAAUUUUUCGAAAUCACUGUGCCUUUAAGAACGUUUCUGUGUGAAUGACAUUUCUUACUGAUUUGCCCAUAUACACAAGCUUUCUUUGUUUGAUCAAUUUAUUGUGCUGCCUAGUGUAACACACUUGAUAUACAAUGCUAAAGGAAAAGAGGCUCUUCUCAUGGAAUGUGUUCAAGGUUUUAUCGUUUUGGAAAACAGUAUUUAGUCGAAUUUAUGGGGCUGAAGACAUCUGUAUCUAUGUAUCUAUAUAUCUGUCUGUAUCUAUGUCUAUAUCUAUAUCUGUCUAUAUAGUAUCCUUUUCUACCAUGACCUUCCCAUUGUCACCCCAAAGUCCAUACUAUUUCUCAAGCCUCUGUAUAAAUCAUCACCACCAACUUCCUCUUAAUGAUUCCUAGAAAAUGUUCGAUCGCAAGAGCUGUAUUCAUCGCCAUCCGCUGUGCCUCCGGUCCAUUCUCUCAACCCCGUCAGCCCAUACGUAAAUUUCGCCUUCCUUUCCCUCGCCAUUUCCACUGAGUGUCCUCUCCAUAGACUCAUCUGCCAGCUCUACCGCUCCUGUUCUCCAGUCCUGCCACCAAUGAACCCGAAUUCAUCUUUAUUUGACCUUAAUUGACACGCCGGGGCAGCUGGCUGACCUGACCUCACUCCGGAAUAACAGGAUGCUCCCUGGAGGGGGACACGCCUGCGGGGGCCAGCGGGUUCCAACGCCCUGGGCAAAGGAUAGGGGAAGAGUGACCCAGCCUGUCCCAAAAUGAAUCAGAAACAGUCCGGCCCUUGAACCGAGCACACCUUCCCUUUCCUCCCGUAGAAGCUGACGCCGUCUUCGCCACGAAUUACCACUUACCAUAU